GUGCCGGGUGGUGAGCUCAAAGCGAAUUAUUCUUUUGCCUUUUACUAAAGAAUACAUGUGUGCUCGACGCUAAAAGUGGCAUAUGCCUAAUUUUGGGAUAGCCGUUCUUUGGUGAAU